rnacentral:tRNA from 1 species
AAUCCUUCACCUUCCGCCAAAUUGCUUCAUAGCUCGAGUGGUAGAGCGCAGGAAAGUUUCGAGAGAACAAGGUGCCUGAGGUCACUGGU